UUCCAGCUCUUCAUUUUGCAGAGGUGAUUCUCGAGCUCUCUCCUUUUUUUAUUCCUUGACGGGUGUUUUUGAUUUCUGAAUUUUUUGGCAUCUCUGGAUUGUGGGUUUUGUGUGUUCUUGAAAAUUUGUUUUUUAAUGGAUUUUGUGAAAAAUCUUGGCUUUAUUUAUUUGUGGUGAAUUUUUUGGAUCUGGCUUUGUUUUGGAGUUGUGUAAUUGUUAUAAUUGGUUCAAUCAUUGAGUAUGUUCUUGGAAGGAUAUGCAUGCUAAACAAUGUUGACAUGAUGAACGGGGACGUGGCCACUCUUAUUGCGACAACUGAUUCUGUGACGUCUGUUGUUGCUGCAAAGGAGGAAGUGAAACAGGCUGUUGGCGACGAUCUCAACUCAAAAAGUUCUAUACCUUGCGAGUGGUUUGUAUGUGACGAUGAUCAAACAACUACAAGAUUCUUUGUCAUACAUGUUGGGCCUGGAUUCAAUAAUUAUUACAUAUUUGCAUAUUUUGGAUUAUGAGACAACUUGCUUUCUAUCUUCAAUGACGAUUAAAAUGUUUACACUUCAACUUUGCUAAACAAAUUUUAGCAGUUUGUACUUGUACAAUACACACAUACACUUACUUGAAAGUAGUUAGCCUUUGCAAAUUUACUGAGUUGCUGUAUUUUUGCAGGAGUCUGAGUCGUUGGCUUCAUGGCAGGCUAACCUACUCUUUACCCGUCAAGUUUGAGAAUGCCUUCUUGCGUUGGACCUAUAAUCCAACCAGCCACACAGCAGAUAUAGCGUUUCCACACGGUGGUGUGUCAGCGUCCAAGUGGGUUGCCUGUGGGGACUUAAUUUGGAUGGACCUGGAAUGAUUGGGGCUCAAAGCUUAAUAGCUUUCAAGAACCAUUGAGAUUUAAAGUUUCAAAGAUCACUGCAGAGUUUAUAAGUAGUAAAAAGGAGAUUAUCAUAUUUGCUAGCUUGAAACUUCCGUCUGGCGGAACAAGCUUUAAUCAGUGUGGCAAGAAAGCAUUGAGAUUCAUGGUGUGUUCAACUCGAAAUGACAACUUAAAUGAUAAAUUUCUAAAUGCUUGUCUGCGCUGCUCUUGAGACCGAAUAAGAGCAUGGGCAAGGAGAAACCGAGUCUCUUAUUUUUUGGUCCCAUUAAGUUGCCACAUUAGCGAAACAGGGACUUGGAUGAUUUAACUCCAAUGCAUGCAUAAGAGCAUCUCCAACUAGUUAUUUAAACAAGUUUUUAAGUUAAAAAAUAGAGUAAAUAGGGUUUUGAUGCUCAAUUUGUCGGGUAUUUCGAUUUUUUAGUUUUUUUAUUGGUGAGGAUUAGGAUAAAGUCUUAGAUUUCUGUAGAAUGUUUGUUAUAUGCACUUGUGCAUGGUUAUUCUGAUGGUUUUGUUAUUGGUUGGAAUUUGAAGUUGGAUAGAUUUAUACUGAAUAGGCCGGCUAUGGAUUUUAAUUAUGCACAUUAUAUGCUGACUGAGGCAAGGAAAGGUGAGGAAAAUCCAGCUGUAUGCUCAAAAACAAACCUCCAAUGCCAGUGGAGACUGUCGAAGUGACUGCUCCUCAGCAGCAGUUCACCAACCUAAGCCCAAGAGCCGUCGUUACAUUCCACAGGGAGAUCCUGUAUGGGCAAUCAGUUCAGACACAGAUUGAUUCUCUUGUGGGACUCUCUCUGAACUUUUUCUUUGUACUUACCCUUAUGAAUUCAGUAUGUUGCAUGCGUAGCUGAUCUGCAAGAAAGAAAUUUGAUACCAUCUCCAGAUUAAUGUGGGCUCACGCAUAUGACCGAGCAGAUGCACAGAGAGUAAGAUGUUCUCAGGCGAAUAAAUCCUACCAGUCAAGGAUAACAGAGAGGGGGGCUUCGAUCCAUUUGCAUUCCUAAUUGCGGCUGUUAUCAUACAUGAACAGUUAUUGCAAUGACAAUGACCACUUCAACUUUAAAAAUCAUCACAUGCAUCUGAAGUCCUGAGCAGAAUCAGUGAUUACUAUUACUUAUGUUUAAUCUCAGGUAAGAGGUGCUGCGACAUUAAUUUCUUUAAGCCUCUUAUAUCUAGCACCAAGAAUCCCAUUUGUUCAUAUUUUCUGAAGUCAAAAAUUCCUUCUAUCUGUUGAUCAUGGUGAUAGUCUUAUACUAAAUCUUCAAACAUGAUAAAUGGAAAGGCUCGCUCUGUUUCAAAAAAAGAUGAGAUUUAAAGUUCUUAUUCUGCUACCAAUAUAACUGGUACCAAUAUAACUGAUUUUGUCAAGUAAAGUGAUUCUGAUUACAUAUUGUGUCUGAGACGAGAUAAAGACAGAGGCUCCCGCUACCUCAUUUCACGAUGACCCGAAUUUUUGUGAUGAGCAAAGCAAAAGAUUCUUUGUCUUUUUUAUUUAAAAAUUCUCGAUAAAAAAUAUAUUAGAUUCUAAAUGAUUCUAAAAAAUAUAUUUUUAAAUAUACUUAAAU